rnacentral:rRNA from 1 species
UACGUAGGGGGCAAGCGUUGUCCGGAAUCAUUGGGCGUAAAGCGCGUGUAGGCGGUCCGGUAAGUCGGCUGUGAAAGUCCAGGGCUCAACCCUGGGAUGCCGGUCGAUACUGCCGGACUAGAGUUCGGAAGAGGCGAGUGGAAUUCCCCGGUGUAGCGGUGAAAUGCGCAGAUAUCGGGAGGAACACCAAUGGCGAAGGCAGCUCGCUGGGACGUUACUGACGCUGAGACGCGAAAGCGUGGGGAGCAAACAGG